rnacentral:rRNA from 1 species
AGCGAACGCUGGCGGCAGGCCUAACACAUGCAAGUCGAACGGAUCCUUCGGGAUUAGUGGCGGACGGGUGGGUAACACGUGGGAACGUGCCCUCUGGUUCGGAACAACUCAGGGAAACUUGAGCUAAUACCGGAUGUGCCCUUCGGGGGAAAGAUUUAUCGCCAUUGGAGCGGCCCGCGUCUGAUAGCUAGUUGGUGAGGUAAAGGCUCACCAAGGCGACGAUCAGUAGCUGGUCUGAGAGGAUGAUCAGCCACAUUGGGACUGAGACACGGCCCAAACUCCUACGGGAGGCAGCAGUGGGGAAUCUUGCGCAAUGGGCGAAAGCCUGACGCAGCCAUGCCGCGUGAAUGAUGAAGGUCUUAGGAUUGUAAAAUUCUUUCACCGGGGACGAUAAUGACGGUACCCGGAGAAGAAGCCCCGGCUAACUUCGUGCCAGCAGCCGCCGUAACAC